GAGCAAGCCAUGGCUGGCAGGGGGGAUCAAAGCAUUGAAAAGAAACCCCAGUUGUGUUUGGCCGCAGGACCUUGGCCAGGCUCUGCUUUGGACACCACAUUUCUCAGCAUUUCUCUUCAGGUCACAGAGCUGUCAAAGCAGCAUGGUGACAUCUUAAUAUGCUGAAAAGCACAGAGGUGCUGCCAAUGUCUCCCCUUCACUCCAGCCCUCUGACACAUCUUUAUUGGCUCAAAAACAGAAAUUAGUCUUUCCUCUCCUGGGAGCAAGGCUAAUCCUUAUGAGCCACUUGGCUCUCUCCAGCUCACUAUAGCUGUAUGAAAUAUAUAUAUUUGUAUACA